UUGGGAUAGCUCAGUUGGAAGAACAUGAGAUACUUAAUCUCAGAGUCAUGGGUUCGAAACCCACAUUGGGCAAAA